ensembl:lncRNA
GGCACGUCUGGUAGCAUCUCUGGCUGCUGUUGAUCUUGUUUUUGGAGUAAAACACGGUGGAAGCUGAAUUAGUGAGGAUGACUCCUGCUCCUGUCAUCUCUAAGCUCCUCACACAUCUUUACCUGCACAUGAGGAAAAUCACUCCUGUAGAAUGCAGAUGUUCAGAGGGAGAUGAUGCCACAUCUGGUCCAGCCGAUGGAAGGUCUUGAAGUUCUCUGACUGGCCUCGACUGAAGAUGGUCGUCUCACUGGAUUUAAGGUUCAGAUGCUCAGUAACAAACUCCACCAAUGAGCCAACAGGGAAGCUUUAGGUUUAUUAAAUGUUGCUGUGAAGGUUUCGCUAUUUUUCUUUGUGAAUGCAAUGUGCUCCAACUGAAACUUGAAUUAGAACUUAGAAGUAAAUCCUUCCAUCUGAAAGGAUUUAGUUGCAAUAAUAACCUCAUAACAUUCUAAUUUUUAUUUCAGUCUUGGUUGGAAAUAGAAUCUCUGUAUUGAUUCAGGUAAAAACUGAACUUCACAGCAUGUUGAAGCAAAACAACCAGAUGAAAACUGUGAUGGUGUUGGAUUGUCAGACCGUAAUGUUGCAGCUCAAAGCAGCUUUUCUAUCUCAGUUCAUUCUGACAUUCAGCUAUGAAUCAACACAGCAGAUGGUGAUCCAUGCUGUGGAAGUCUCACAUCUCCUGAUUUAAUGGAGCUGCUUUGCACUUUUUAAACUGUUUAUUCACCAAC